rnacentral:rRNA from 1 species
GACGUAGGGCGCGAGCGCUGUCCGGAUUUAUUGGGCGUAAAGAGCUCGUAGGCGGCUUGUCGCGUCGACCGUGAAAACUUGGGGCUCAACCCACGACUCGCGGUCGAUACGGGCAGGCUCGAGUUCGGUAGGGGAGACUGGAAUUCCUGGUGUAGCGGUGAAAUGCGCAGAUAUCAGGAGGAACACCGGUGGCGAAGGCGGGUCUCUGGGCAGUAACUGACGCUGAGGAACGAAAAGCGUGGGUAGCGAACAGG